GACGAACGCUGGCGGCGUGCUUAACACAUGCAAGUCGAACGGAAAGGCCCUGCUUUUGUGGGGUGCUCGAGUGGCGAACGGGUGAGUAACACGUGAGUAACCUGCCCUUGACUUUGGGAUAACUUCAGGAAACUGGGGCUAAUACCGGAUAGGAGCUCCUGCUGCAUGGUGGGGGUUGGAAAGUUUCGGCGGUUGGGGUUGGACUCGCGGCUUAUCAGCUUGUUGGUGGGGUAAUGGCUUACCAAGGCUUUGACGGGUAGCCGGCCUUAGAGGGUGACCGGCCACAUUGGGACUGAGAUACGGCCCAGACUCCUACGGGAGGCAGCAGUGGGGAAUAUUGCACAAUGGGCGGAAGCCUGAUGCAGCAACGCCGCGUGCGGGAUGACGGCCUUCGGGUUGUAAACCGCUUUCGCCUGUGACGAAGCGUGAGUGACGGUAAUGGGUAAAGAAGCACCGGCUAACUACGUG
rnacentral:rRNA from 1 species